AUAAAAGAAGAAAAGGAAAGCUAAACCAAAGCGCUACUAAUACGCAUCUUGGUUAUAGAAGCGACGAUACCAUAAGUCUAUUUAAUUUCUGUCUCAGGAUUGGUCCUGGGGACAUCACCCCCGCAGGAGCAGCCCUGGGCGCACACCUGGGGCGUGAGCGUUACUCAGAGCUCACACGUGCUGCUGUCACAGGUAAUUGGCUCAGCCUCCAUCACUGUCCUCCGCUGCAGCUGGAGCCAGCAGGGGCGGCUCUUAAUUAAAUCUGGCACCAUCAGGGGGUGAAGGACGGGAACGCAGUGCAUCACGAAGCGGACAGGCCUCCAGCUCUGGAAACGCCAUCGGGGUUGUCAGCAAGGAGCAAUGGUUCUCUCUGACACAGCCUCAAUAGAGAAACGUGCUGUGCUGAGCCUGAGCUCCCCAGGACAGCGCUGAGCUGAAGGCAGCACCCACCAGGUGCGAGUGCUGAGGAAGCUCCUGGAAAUAGCUGGCUUUGGAAACCUCGUCCUUAGCUGUGCCAUCUGCCCCGGGGAUGGGCUCAGCAGCUCCAGCGGUCCAUGCUGUCCUUGCAGGGAUGAGCACAGCCCCAAAGUAUAGCGACUGAAGCAGUGCAUAAUUCAGGAUCGUAAAACACUUCCAAGUGUGCAUUAAUUAUAAAUAUAUUGUAAAUGACAGUUUUUUUCCUCGAAGAAGGCACAUUAGAUGUGAUGCAUGGCCCCAGAGGAGUGUGUCAAAUGAGGCUGGUGCCCGCCUGGAGCAGCCUGACCUGCCUGUGUAUUCCCAGGCACGAUGCGAUGAGCUCCAUGCAGUGCCCAUAGUGGUGGGCAGUUGGGAGUUACCAGAGAAGCUCUGCUUGCCCCCAGUGCCCACACCCCACUGUGCCUGGGGAGGAAGAGCGCGGUCAGCUGGCACUUCUACUUCAUCUUGGUCGUGUGUGCACCCAUCUCUUCGUAGAUGCAAAACUCAGUUUCCUCGUGGUGCCUCAGUGGACCAUCUCUGCUCUUUGGGUGUGAAUGCAGCAAGGCUGCAUGGCGCGUUGGCUCUCCCAUGCUCAGAUGUGAUGGUGAAGGCCACUUUGGACUUCAACAUUUCUCCUGCGGGGCUCCAACGUCAGAACAAAGUCUUGUUGUUAUUUUGCCAAACUGAAGUACUGGGAUGUGGAUGGAGCAAAAACUGAGUAAUCACUGAAUCGUUGAGCUAUCAGUUACCAUCAGUGACAGCUCCUGGAGCUGUUUGGGAAUCCCAGCCGUGAGAAACCUCUAUUGCUUUGGGCCAAGUCCUGCUCCUCCAUGGCUGCUGAAUGAAUGGCCCCUGCCAGUGCUGAAGGACCCUGGAAGAAAAACGUGUCUCUGGUAGGUACAAAAUCAGCUUUUCACUGGGAAGGUGGUGCAUCAUGGGAACACAUCACUCUGGGAGGGUGCAUCCCAUCCACGGAGCAUGUCACAACUUGGAUAAGAAACGCUGUGUUGGUGUAGGUGACAGCUGUGCUUCGAGCAGGCAGCAGGACCACAGUCCUCCAGAGGUCAUUUGCUUCCACGCCUCAGUGACUGCACAGCAGAAAGGUUAAGGGAUAUUUUCCCUGUAUGAAAUAACUACGUUGUUUCCUCUGUUAUGAUGAUUGGCUUUAUUUAUUGCAGUUUAUUCGGAGGGAAUGUCUUAUGUCAAUGUGAAGGCACUAAUUUAGCCAGCAGGAAUGAAAUGUUACCAUCCUCUUCAUCUUCCCUUGUGCUAUAGGUGAUGCUUGUCUGACU
ensembl:lncRNA